rnacentral:rRNA from 1 species
CAGCAGCCGCGGUAAGACAGAGGAUGCAAGCGUUAAUCGGAAUUACUGGGCGUAAAGCGUGCGCAGGCGGUUCGCUAAGACAGAUGUGAAAUCCCCGGGCUUAACCUGGGAACUGCAUUUGUGACUGGCGGGCUAGAGUAUGGCAGAGGGGGGUAGAAUUCCACGUGUAGCGGUGAAAUGCGUAGAGAUCUGGAGGAAUACCGGUGGCGAAGGCGGCCCCCUGGACAAAGACUGACGCUCAGGUGCGAAAGCGUGGGGAGCAAACAGGAUUAGAUACCCCAGUAGUCCCUGUCUCUUAUAC